rnacentral:rRNA from 1 species
AUGUGGGCACUCUAAGGAGACUGCCGGUGACAAACCGGAGGAAGUGGGAUGACGUCAAGUCAUCAUGGCCCUUACGGCCUGGGCUACACACGUGCUACAAUGGUCGGUACAAAGGGUUGCCAAGCCGCGAGGUGGAGCUAAUCCCAUAAAACCGAUCGUAGUCCGGAUCGCAGUCUGCAACUCGACUGCGUGAAGUCGGAAUCGCUAGUAAUCGUGAAUCAGAAUGUCACGGUGAAUACGUUCCCGGGCCUU